GUAUCGGUCUCCUCUGGCCUCCUUGGAGUAGGCUACACAGUGAGAGCGUGCGUAAUUGUACACGCUGAACGGCUUUCAAUAUCUGGGCAAAGGUCCACAUCUGGCAGCAGGUGAGCGCGUGUCGGAGAAUGUGGUGAUGAGGCUUGUGGAACCUUACAUCAGAAGGGGACAAAUGUCACUUCACUGUCAUCGGCGGACAAGUUGCUUGCAAAGAAAACAACUCCGGUCGACACCAUGAACAAAGGGAGACGGGAGCUCCCUCCCUCUGCGCAAAAUAAGGCACUUGCACAGCCGUUGUACCACAGCUGUGCUGAAGAAUGACAAGACAACUCACAUUUACCAAUACAAGGCAAGAAAUAAAGUUUCUGUCAUGAGCACCACGCAUCCGACAGUUGACAUCGACCGUGACUCCAUAAAGAGAAAAUCGGAGCCUAUUACGCACUACAACCAAACAAAGCAGGGAUGGGCAACGCUGAGCUCAUCAUCAGGGGCUGGAGUGGCUCGCGGGUCUGCGCACCCACAAAAAAAAUAUAUAGUUUUAUAAUGUCAUCCAAGACCGUCAUAAACACAUCCAAAUGAUUAUUUUUGAGAUAGCAUAUAUGAAACGUAUUAAUUACGGUUCUAAUGUUGCAGGCAGAAUGUUUGAAGGGGGGUUCCUCGGGGCCCAGCGGCUCUGGUGUUAAGGAAUACUUACAUUUGAAAUUCACAUCAUGGACAUCCACUACAUUUCACUAUGUGACAUUUCAAAAAUCUACUACACUUUAAAUGCCCGGAUGUCAUACUCAGUUCGUCUUUUUUUAUUUAGUAGAAUUCGCUGCACACAUUUGAGGAAGAUAAUAGUCUUUUCACAAACACAUGUUCGACAACAGCUGGAAAUCAGAACGGAGGACGUGCUCUACAAAAAUGAACGAAAGGCGCGCAACAAGUGCGAUUGCGCAUUCUCAGUAUGGAUGAGUAGUAUGCUAAUAUUUGUUGCAUACUGCAUACUUUGUACUAAACAGUACGUUCUAAAUAGUAUGUAGUACGAUUAGUACACUGUAUGCAGUUUCAGUAAGUAGUAGGCAAGCCAGAUUUGAACAUGGCCAUAUUAUUUCUGUGUUACUCUUGGUCCUCUAUACGUUCACCUGUUCUCUGUAUGUAUGUGUGUAUUUCAGAGGAGUUGGAAUAAAGCAGAAGACACGUUUCCCUUGGAAGUCCAUGUGGAAUAAAGUGCUGUUCUUCCAUUGGUCUCGCUAUAUUAAUGUGGUUCGGCACCGUGAGUAAUCAGCUCAUUACAAGAGAGCGGCGAAGCUGCUUAUGGUAAAGCAGAGCGUUCAUUAAUUACACACCGCGUCCAGACGCACGCAGAGACACAACCGCACUACAACUGUCUUGUGACCUUUUGGACUUCAGGUGAAGAAUCACAUUCUUUCUAUAUGAAAACACAAGGGUUUUCUCUGGAAAUGAUUGAUGCGGUGAGUUACUAAUGGACCAAAGGGCACCUGUAAAUGAACUGUUGGAAGGCUAUUAUACAACAAUAAUGGAUAUAGGUCACCUGGACUGGAGAUUAUUAGCAGUCUACCUAUGUCUGCUACAAUGGAUUAAACUUCCCUUUGAGAUAUAUAUUUUCAUUGUACUGUACAUGGUCCCGGUCAUACAUUUAAUGUAUAACCCGAUGAAUAGAAAAAUAACCAAUAUGUAUUUUUUUAGAGGGAAGGAGAGAGGAGCUAUAUUUGACCAGAUUGUAUAUACACUAUACAACAACAAUGCAUAUGUUUUAGAGGGGAAAGAGAGAGGGCCUCAUAUAGCAGCCAUGUCUCACGACUUCCCUCACGAUGCCUUUAAGCUUCCUCUUCUCCUCAGACAGUAACAGCUGAUGCCUCAGACCGAUACACAAACAAACUACACACCAAGCUACAGGGAGCCAUAAUGACUUAAUGCAAAGUGACAGACUGCACAUACUGAAGAGGUUUGCUGCGCUGUGCGGUGGUUAUUUAAAGGCUACUCUCCCCAAACGACACCCAGGACACAGAUUAAAAGAGGAGGGAGGGAUAGAGGAGAGGAGGGAUGAAGGGAUGGAGGAGUGGACGGGUGGAGGGCCGUUGUGUGGUGUCAGGGACUCACCAGUCAAAGGGAAAGUGGCCAUCAGAACAGGGUUCAAAUACUAUGUGAGAUCUUUCAAAUACUUUGAGCCUUUAGUCUGGACUUUAGACUGGACUUUAGCCUGUCUGGACUUUAGCCUGUCUGGACUUUAGUCUGGACUUCAGCCUGUCUGGACUUUAGUCUGGACUUCAGCCUGUCUGGACUUUAGUCUGGACUUCAGCCUGUCUGGACUUUAGCCUGUCUGGACUUUAGUCUGGACUUUAGCCUGUCUGGACUUUAGUCUGGACUUUAGCCUGUCUGGACUUUAGUCUGGACUUUAGCCUGUCUGGACUUUAGUCUGGACUUUAGUCUGGACUUUAGCCUGUCUGGACUUUAGUCUGGACUUUAGCCUGUCUGGACUUUAGUCUGGACUUUAGCCUGUCUGGAGUGCUAGUUGGGCGUGUUUGAACCCUGGUCUGGAAAUGAUAGGGGGGGUGGGGCUGGGGAGCGGUGCGGUGCGGGACUUCAGGGAGUGUAGCAGGCCUAUGCGGUCUCUGGUUAACGAGGUUAAGGUAAUGGAGUUUUAAAGGGGAACACCUUCAGAGGGAUUUGGAGUGUCUUUGUACUACAGGGACUAAGGGCAAUAGGGCCUGUACUGACGGUCUCUGUGAGAUUGUUCAUGUUUACUAAAGGGAGGCCCUCUGGUCUGUAAUGACCAAAUACAGUUGAAGACGUGGCCCUAAUGCACUCAAGCUGCUGCAGAGAGAGAGAGAGAGAAAGAGGGACGAGAAAAGAGAGGGAGACAAAGAGAGAGGAGAUCAAAAAUAAAGAAAGAGGGAGACCUAUUGCACUGGGACAAAUACUCAGACAUAAGAGAAUCUUUCUUUCCCCAAAUUAUCCGCCAUUACAAAUCAUUUUAAACUAUAAAAAAAUAACGAAAAUAUCUAAUAUGCAUUGGGUAAAAAAACAAAAUGUGCAGUUUUGGCACGUAAAUAUGUGGCCUCCUGCCACAAGCUGAGGGAAAGCCAGUGAAAAGCAACAAUGUAACAAUAGUAUUUGCUAUUUAGUUUGAUUUGGCUUUCAUUACAUUAUUAUUCUCAUGACUAAUGUUGUUGUUAAUAUCAUUACCACUACUAUUAGGCCUCCUAUUAUUAUUAUUAAUAGUAGUCUUCGUAUUAUUAGUAUUAUUAGUAUACUUAUUAUUAUUAUUAUUAUUAUUAUUAGUAUUAUUAAUAUACUCAUUAUUAUUAUUAUUAUUAGUAGUAGUAUUAUUAUUCAUAAUAUUAGUAUUAGUAUAUGUAUUAUUAGGAGUCAUAUUAUUAUUAAUAAUAUUAUUAGUAUACCUUUUAUUAGUAUGAUUCAUAUUAUUAGUAUUAUUAGUAUACGUGUAAUAAUUAUUUUUAGUAUUAUUAGUAUUAGUAGUAUACAUCGUUGCGGUAUUAUUAUUAGUAUAUUUGUAUACUCAUUAUUAUUAUUAGUAGUAUUAUUAGUAUACUUAUUAUUAUUAGUAGUAGUAAUAUUGUUAGUACUUUUAUUAUUAUUAUUACUUUAUUACUGUUAGUCAGAUUAAUGUAGUUAUAUGUGUACUUCGACAUGGUCAGUAAUAUUACUUGCAAUGUCAAUAAAGUCUAUUGAAUUGAACAGA